rnacentral:rRNA from 1 species
CCAGACUCCUACGGGAGGCAGCAGUGGGGAAUAUUGCGCAAUGGGGGCAACCCUGACGCAGCCAUGCCGCGUGAAUGAAGAAGGCCUUCGGGUUGUAAAGUUCUUUCGGUAGCGAGGAAGGCAUUUAGUUUAAUAGACUAGGUGAUUGACGUUAACUACAGAAGAAGCACCGGCUAACUCCGUGCCAGCAGCCGCGGUAAUACGGAGGGUGCGAGCGUUAAUCGGAAUAACUGGGCGUAAAGGGCACGCAGGCGGUGACUUAAGUGAGGUGUGAAAGCCCCGGGCUUAACCUGGGAAUUGCAUUUCAUACUGGGUCGCUAGAGUACUUUAGGGAGGGGUAGAAUUCCACGUGUAGCGGUGAAAUGCGUAGAGAUGUGGAGGAAUACCGAAGGCGAAGGCAGCCCCUUGGGAAUGUACUGACGCUCAUGUGCGAAAGCGUGGGGAGCAAACAGGAUUAGAUACCCUGGUAGUCCACGCUGUAAACGAUGUCGAUUUGGGGGUUGAACUUUGAGUUUGGCGCCCGUAGCUAACGUGAUAAAUCGACCGCCUGGGGAGUACGGCCGCAAGGUUAAAACUCAAAUGAAUUGACGGGGGCCCCGCACAAG